AUUGAACGCUGGCGGCAGGCCUAACACAUGCAAGUCGAACGAGUGGCGGACGGGUGAGUAAUGUCUGGGAAACUGCCCGAUGGAGGGGGAUAACUACUGGAAACGGUAGCUAAUACCUCAUACCAUCGGAUGUUCCCAGAUGGGAUUAGCUGGUAGGUGGGGUAACGGCUCACCUAGGCGACGAUCCCUAGCUGGUCGGAGAGGAUGACCAGACACACGGGAACUGGACACCGGUCAAGACUCCUACGGGGGGCAGAAGUGGGGAAUAUUGCACAAGGGGCGCAAGCCUGAUGCAGACAUGCCGCGUGUAUGAAGAAGGCCUUCGGGUUGUAAAGUACUUUCAGCGAGGAGGCGUUACUCGCAGAAGAAGCACCGGCUAACUCCGUGCCAGCAGCCGCGGUAAUAC
rnacentral:rRNA from 1 species